CCCGGCCAAGCGAGGAUGGCGACAUGGCGACUGUUCAACGAAGAGACAACGGACUGUGUUGCUGCUGUCCACGAACCAUGAAAGGUCUUUUCCCCUACUCUGGCUGGCUGACCAGUGAAGUUGAAGAUUUCUAUGGAGUGUGCCUUAUUGAAGAUUCUGACUGAUCCAUGAAGUUGAAGGUUUCUAUGGAGUGUGUGGUAUUGGUUUUCUGACGAUUUGGAGUCCUACAAAGGUAAACAAGAUCUUGGAGACAUCAAAUGCUUUUAAGAUACAUGAAGAAGUGACUUGAGACAAAACAUCGAUCGGAG